CCAGGCAGAGCAGUUUCCCCUGACUGCUCAUACAGCCAUCAAACCUGGCCUUUUUCAGGAUCUGAAAAACAUGGCUCAGCUGUACAUUAUCCUGGCAGUCACAACCUCUUAGCUCUGCCACAAAGAAAACAGAGACCCCCACUGCAGCAAAGGAUGGGCAAGAAGCAGAGGAACUUUCCCAGCUUUAUUAAUUACAACUGAAAAAAGGAUUUAAAGCCUAAUACUGAAGAGGCAGUGACUAUUUAUAAGGCAGCCUGGUCAGAACUGUAACAGCUAUUUCUGUAUAAGGAACCACGAUAUGGCAAAGAAACAAGCAACAACGCCAGCACUGAACAAGCAGGCAGAACACAUUCUACUGAAAAAAAGAAUCCUGAAAACUAUGGUUAAAGCAAGAAAUAUUUCCAAAGCUGGAUCUGCACAGAAUAGAUGCAUGGAGGUAUUUCUGAGUCUCCGAAGAGCUGUCCUGGAAUAACCUCUCGUGCAGACACCAUGGCUUCUUCUACACUGUGUAGGAAAAGCAGGCGUGCAGUCAGAUUCACAAGCUGUCACAGGCACACAAACCUCAGUCUGCUCUCAAUUUUUAAAAUAUUUCUUCAUGUACCAAGGCAGUUUCCAGCUAGUUCAAAACUCCAUUCUCCUUCAUCCUUAAUUCCAGUGUUAAAUUUUUAUCAUCAAACUAAUUCACCUACUCUCCCACGUACCUCUCCCAGCUGUAUCCCAACUCCACUCCAGGAUGUUUUCCAGACUUUGAUUGUUUCUUUUCAGUUUCUGUUGUUUCUCAGGUGACAACAGUUUUAUUCUUGACUAACUGUUAUUACAGCCAGAAUCUGAAAGGCAACCAGGUUCAGGUUUACAAAGGCAAGAUUUGGGGCAGCACUGUAGUCAGUCCCUAGCUUCAAGCCACUCCUGGAGCAGCCAUCUCAGUACAGUAGAGAUGGUGUAAAACAACCUUUGAUUUUUUUUUAAUUUAUCCAAAUGAGAAGGACCCCACUAUCUUAAUGCAUAUUAAGAAAUUGCAAACAUACACAACAGACCCUGCAGAAAUUAUGAUCUCAUAAUGUAAAGAAUCAUCACUGGGUAGCCCAAAAUCAAAAUGACUCAUGGAAAUCUAUAAAAACUGCAGAGAAUAGUUCUUAGAUAAUUUAAUAACUCUUUGUACCAAACUGAAGUAAAACAUAGGAUAAAAUGAUGUGAUCAUCAAAGGUUCCAGCAAAGGAGCAGCAUCUCAGAGCAUUGCUCACUUUUGUUUAACUAGGUCACUAAAAGCAGUUCUUGUAAAUAAGUUGGAGGUUUCUCCUUUCUUCUGAGCCAAUGAAUCCAUUAGGAGCUAACAAUUUGGGCAGGACUCUGUAGUUCUCCUGAAGAUAUUUUCUGAGGCCUGAAGAUACAUGAGCUUGAAAGAGGCAGGCAGGUCUAACAAGGGUUGUGUGGGUAGGUGCCACCAAGAAAUCCUCUCAGUUUUGGGUUUCUAGAAGCUGUGGCUGCAAGAAACGAAAGCAAAUAGUGCUGCUGUUUCUUUUGACACAGCUAUUAUUUUGCAUCAACUUUCCAACAGCACCUGUGUAUCUCCCUAGCAUGGUAGAAAGAUAUACCUUGAUCUAUCAUCUACAGAAAGCAGAAAAUUUCACAAAUAAAUCCCAAAAAAAAAAAAAAAAAAAAAAAAAAAAAAAAAAAAAAAAGACAAAA